UACGUAGGGUGCAAGCGUUGUCCGGGAUUAUUGGGCGUAAAGAGCUCGUAGGUGGCCUGUCGCGUCGGCUGUGAAAACUCGGGGCUCAACUCCGAGCUUGCAGUCGAUACGGGCAGGCUAGAGUUCGGCAGGGGAGACUGGAAUUCCUGGUGUAGCGGUGAAAUGCGCAGAUAUCAGGAGGAACACCGGUGGCGAAGGCGGGUCUCUGGGCCGAUACUGACGCUGAGGAGCGAAAGCGUGGGGAGCGAACAGG
rnacentral:rRNA from 1 species